GACGAACGCUGGCGGCGUGCUUAACACAUGCAAGUCGAACGGAAAGGCCCUGCUUUUGUGGGGUGCUCGAGUGGCGAACGGGUGAGUAACACGUGAGUAACCUGCCCUUGACUUUGGGAUAACUUCAGGAAACUGGGGCUAAUACCGGAUAGGAGCUCCUGCUGCAUGGUGGGGGUUGGAAAGUUUAGGCUGUUGGGGAUGGACUCGCGGCUUAUCAGCUUGUUGGUGGGGUAGUGGCUUACCAAGGCUUUGACGGGUAGCCGGCCUGUGAGGGUGACCGGCCACAUUGGGACUGAUAUUAGGCCGAGACUCCUACGGGAGGCAGCAGUGGGGAAUGUUGCACAAUGGGCGGAAGCCUGAUGCAGCAACGCCGCGUGCGGUAUGACGGCCUUCGGGUUGUAAACCGCUUUCGCCUGUGACGAAGCGUGAGUGACGGUAAUGGGUAAAGAAGCACCGGCUAACUACGUU
rnacentral:rRNA from 1 species